CAGUAGCCGCGGUAAUACGAAGGGUGCAAGCGUUAAUCGGAAUUACUGGGCGUAAAGCGCGCGUAGGUGGUUUGGUAAGAUGGAUGUGAAAUCCCCGGGCUCAACCUGGGAACUGCAUCCAUAACUGCCUGACUAGAGUACGGUAGAGGGUGGUGGAAUUUCCUGUGUAGCGGUGAAAUGCGUAGAUAUAGGAAGGAACACCAGUGGCGAAGGCGACCACCUGGACUGAUACUGACACUGAGGUGCGAAAGCGUGGGGAGCAAACAGGAUUAGAUACCCGUGUAGUCCCUGUCUCUUAUAC
rnacentral:rRNA from 1 species